ACGGGUGCGUAACGCGUGGGAAUCUGCCCUUGGGUUCGGAAUAACAGUUAGAAAUGACUGCUAAUACCGGAUGAUGUCUUCGGACCAAAGAUUUAUCGCCCAAGGAUGAGCCGCGUAAGAUUAGCUAGUUGGUGGGGUAAUGGCCCACCAAGGCGACGAUCUUUAGCUGGUCUGAGAGGAUGAUCAGCCACACUGGGACUGAGACACGGCCCAGACUCCUACGGGAGGCAGCAGUGGGGAAUAUUGGACAAUGGGCGAAAGCCUGAUCCAGCAAUGCCGCGUGAGUGAUGAAGGCCUUAGGGUUGUAAAGCUCUUUUACCAGGGAUGAUAAUGACAGUACCUGGAGAAUAAGCUCCGGCUAACUCCGUGCCAGCAGCCGCGGUAAUACGGAGGGAGCUAGCGUUGUUCGGAAUUACUGGGCGUAAAGCGUACGUAGGCGGUUAUUCAAGUCAGAGGUGAAAGCCCGGGGCUCAACCCCGGAACGGCCUUUGAAACUAGAUAGCUAGAGUCUUGGAGAGGUUAGUGGAAUUCCGAGUGUAGAGGUGAAAUUCGUAGA
rnacentral:rRNA from 1 species